GAUGUGGUGUCUGUGGUGUCGCUAUUGGACGGUGGGCUUGUUGAUGAUUGGAUCCGUUGUUGCUGCUAAGGGCGAUGACACUAUGGACGGUGGCAGAUGACGAUCUAUUACGCUACCUGCCUUUGCUGUUCUGAACCAUGAAUUGGUGUUGGUUAUUAUGGGUUUUGUGGCGAGGAGUGGUG